ensembl:miRNA Gm44353 predicted gene, 44353
UUAUAAAAAUGUUAUAAUUAUACUUAUAUAAUAACAUUCAUUAUUAUAUUAUAGUAUAUAUUAAUAAUUAUUAUUUUCUGAAUUCCAUUUUUCAAGAGAAUACUUAAUGGGCAAGUAGAAAUUUUACCUCAUUUCACA